rnacentral:rRNA from 1 species
AGAGUUUGAUCCUGGCUCAGGACGAACGCUGGCGGCGUGCCUAAUACAUGCAAGUCGAACGCUUUUUUUUUCACCGGAGCUUGCUCCACCGAAAGAAAAGGAGUGGCGAACGGGUGAGUAACACGUGGGUAACCUGCCCAUCAGAAGGGGAUAACACUUGGAAACAGGUGCUAAUACCGUAUAACAAUAGAAACCGCAUGGUUUCUAUUUGAAAGGCGCUUUUGCGUCACUGGUGGAUGGACCCGCGGUGCAUUAGCUAGUUGGUGAGGUAACGGCUCACCAAGGCAACGAUGCAUAGCCGACCUGAGAGGGUGAUCGGCCACAUUGGGACUGAGACACGGCCCAAACUCCUACGGGAGGCAGCAGUAGGGAAUCUUCGGCAAUGGACGAAAGUCUGACCGAGCAACGCCGCGUGAGUGAAGAAGGUUUUCGGAUCGUAAAACUCUGUUGUUAGAGAAGAACAAGGAUGAGAGUAGAAUGUUCAUCCCUUGACGGUAUCUAACCAGAAAGCCACGGCUAACUACGUGCCAGCAGCCGCGGUAAUACGUAGGUGGCAAGCGUUGUCCGGAUUUAUUGGGCGUAAAGCGAGCGCAGGCGGUUUCUUAAGUCUGAUGUGAAAGCCCCCGGCUCAACCGGGGAGGGUCAUUGGAAACUGGGAAACUUGAGUGCAGAAGAGGAGAGUGGAAUUCCAUGUGUAGCGGUGAAAUGCGUAGAUAUAUGGAGGAACACCAGUGGCGAAGGCGGCUCUCUGGUCUGUAACUGACGCUGAGGCUCGAAAGCGUGGGGAGCAAACAGGAUUAGAUACCCUGGUAGUCCACGCCGUAAACG